ensembl:snoRNA
UGGACCGAUGAUGACGCUGGUGGCGUAGGAGUCACGGAUGAUGAAUGUGACGUGUCUGAAACUCUGAGGUCCAA